rnacentral:rRNA from 1 species
UACGUAGGCAGCAAGCGUUGUUCGGAGUUACUGGGCGUAAAGGGUGUGUAGGCGGUUGUUUAAGUUUGGUGUGAAAUCUCCCGGCUCAACUGGGAGGGUGCGCCGAAUACUGAAUGACUAGAGUGUGGGAGAGGAGGGUGGAAUUCCUGGUGUAGCGGUGAAAUGCGUAGAUAUCAGGAGGAACACCGGUGGCGAAGGCGGCCCUCUGGACGGAUACUGACGCUGAGGCGCGAAAGCGUGGGGAUCAAACAGG